rnacentral:rRNA from 1 species
GGGACACGUGAAACCCUGUGGGAAGCAGGAGGGACCACCCUCCAAGGCUAAAUACUACCUAGUGACCGAUAGCGUAUAGUACCGUGAGGGAAAGGUGAAAAGAACCCCGGGAGGGGAGUGAAAUAGAACCUGAAACCCUGCACUUACAAGCUGUGGAAGCACAUUUCUUGUGUGACCGCGUACUUUUUGUAGAACGGGCCAACGAGUUACGUUAAGUAGCAAGGUUAAGCACUUAAGGUGCGGAGCCGUAGCGAAAGCGAGUUUUAACUGAGCGUUCAGUUACUUGACGUAGACCCGAAACCGGGCGACCUACCCAUGAGCAGGAUGAAGCGAAAGUAAAAUUUCGUGGAGGUCCGAACCCACGAGCGUUGAAAAGCUCGGGGAUGACUUGUGGGUAGCGGUGAAAUUCCAAUCGAGCCCGGAGAUAGCUGGUUCUCCCCGAAAUAGCUUUAGGGCUAGCCUCAAGGUGAGAGAUACGGAGGUAGAGCACUGAAUGUCCUAGGGGGUAUUGCACCUACCGAAGACUAUCAAACUCCGAAUGCCGUCAUCUUAUACUUGGGAGUCAGACUGUGGGUGAUAAGAUUCAUAGUCGAAAGGGCAACAGCCCAGAUCGUCAGCUAAGGUCCCUAAAUGUAAGUUAAGUGGUAAAGGAUGUGGGAUUGCACAGACAACCAGGAUGUUGGCUUAGAAGCAGCCACUCAUUCAAAGAGUGCGUAAUAGCUCACUGGUCGAGUGAUCCUGCGCCGAAGAUUUCCGGGGCUAAAACUUACUACCGAAGCUACGGCAUCAGUAAUGAUGGGUAGGGGAGCUUCCCAUACGGGUUGAAGCAUGACCGUAAGGACAUGUGGACAGUAUGGGAGUGAGAAUGUUGGCAUGAGUAGCGAGAUGUGGGUGAGAAUCCCACAGGCCGUAAACCCAAGGUUUCCAGGGGAAGGUUCGUCCGCCCUGGGUUAGUCGGGACCUAAGCUGAGGCCGAAAGGCGUAGGUGAUGGACAACAGGUUGAUAUUCCUGUACUACCGAUAACCGUUUGAGAGAAGGGAUGACACAGUAGGAUAAGCUAAGCACACUGUUGGUUAUGUGUGCCCAAGCAUUGAGGCAGUCAAAGUAGGCAAAUCCGCUUUGAUAAUGCUGGGAUGUGAUGGGGAGCGAAAUUUAGUAGCGAAGUAGCUGAUUUCACACUGUCAAGAAAAGUCUCUAUCGAGGUUAAAGGUACCCGUACCGCAAACCGACACAGGUGGGUGAGGAGAGUAUCCUAAGGCCAGCGAGAGAACUGUUGUUAAGGAACUCGGCAAAAUGACCCCGUAACUUAGGGAUAAGGGGUGCCACCAUCAGGUGGCCGCAGAGAAUAGGCCCAAGCGACUGUUUACCAAAAACAUAGGUUUCUGCUAAGUCGCAAGACGAUGUAUAGGAGCUGACGCCUGCCCGGUGCUGGAAGGUUAAGGGGAUCUGUUAGAGCAAUCGAAGCAGUGAACUUAAGCCCCAGUAAACGGCGGCCGUAACUAUAACGGUCCUAAGGUAGCGAAAUUCCUUGUCGGGUAAGUUCCGACCCGCACGAAAGGCGUAACGAUUUGGGCACUGUCUCAACAACAGACUCGGUGAAAUUGUAAUUCCGGUGAAGAUGCCGGAUACCUGCGACAGGACGGAAAGACCCCAUGGAGCUUUACUGUAGCUUGACAUUGGGUCUUGGUACUACAUGUACAGGAUAGGUGGGAGGCUUUGAAACCAGGACGCCAGUUUUGGCGGAGCCAUCCUUGGGAUACCACCCUUGUAGUACUGGGACUCUAACCAUAGGCCAUGAAUCUGGUCUUGGGACACUGUCAGGUGGGCAGUUUGACUGGGGCGGUCGCCUCCCAAAAGGUAACGGAGGCGCUCAAAGGU